rnacentral:rRNA from 1 species
GACGGAGGAUGCAAGUGUUAUCCGGAAUCACUGGGCGUAAAGCGUCUGUAGGUGGUCAAAUAAGUCAACUGUUAAAUCUUGAGGCUCAACCUCAAAAUCGCAGUCGAAACUAUUCGACUAGAGUAUAGUAGGGUAAAGGGAAUUCCAGUGGAGCGGUGAAAUGCGUAGAUAUCUGGAGGAACACCGGUGGCGAAGGCGGUCUGCUGGGCAGUUGCUGACACUGAGGCGCGACAGCGUGGGAGCAACAGG